CAUCACCUACACAAACUGGUAUCCCUAUACACUACAUUCCGUAAGCACACACAUUAGAUCCUCUACAGUAACACAUAACACAUCCCCUACACACUCUACUCCCUGUGAGCGAACUCAUGGGUGGAACAUGUAGGUGGACUUAUGGGUGGGCUUUAUGGGCAUACUCACCGUCAGGCCCUGGGGCCCAGACCUUGAGCUAUGUAAGAGGCCCCAAAAAAAUGGAGCUGCUUCCCGUUCUCCCAGAACAUUGAAUUUUGUGACCACAGUUACAAACAGCCUCCAGAGAUCCUGUUUUACACCAGACCAAUGGAGCCAGACUGCAGCCAGAGCCCAUCACCAUCCUCAUCUGAUUGUAAGUAGGCAAUCUAGUAUAUUAUUAGUGACACUAAUCUCUAAU